AGCCUAGUGCUUAGAGUGUAGAGGCAGGCAGCCUAGUGGUUAGAGUGUAGAGGAGGCAGGCAGCCUAGUGGUUAGAGUGUAGAGGCAGCAGGUAGCCUAGUGGUUAGAGUGUAGAGGUGGCAGGUAGCCUAGUGGUUAGAGUGUAGAGGAGGCAGGUAGCCUAGUGGUUAGAGUGUAGAGGAGGCAGGUAGCCUAGUGGUUAGAGUGUAGAGCUGGCAGGUAGCCUAGUGGUUAGAGUGUAGAGGAGGCAGGUAGCCUAGUGGUUAGAGUGUAGAGCUGGCAGGUAGCCUAGUGGUUAGAGUGUAGAGGGGGCAGGUAGCCUAGUGGGUAGAGGCAGGUAGCCUAGUGGUUAGAGUGUAGAGGCAGCAGGUAGCCUAGUGGUUAGAGUGUAGAGGCGGCAGGGUAGCCUAGUGGUUAGAGUGUAGAGGUGGCAGGCAGCCUAGUGGUUAGAGUGUAGAGGCGGCAGGGUAGCAUAGUGGUUAGAGUAUAGAGGGGGCAGGUAGCCUAGUGGUUAGAGUGUAGAGGGGGCAGGUAGCCUAGUGGUUAGAGUGUAGAGGCGGCAGGGUAGCCUAGUGGUUAGAGUGUAGAGGUGGCAGGCAGCCUAGUGGUUAGAGGGGAGAGGCAGGCAGUCUAGUGGUUAGAGUGUAGAGGUGGCAGGUAGCCUAGUGGUUAGAGGGGAGAGGCGGCAGGUAGCCUAGUGGUUAGAGUGUAGAGGUGGCAGGCAGCCUAGUGGUAGAGUGCAGAGGUGGCAGGUAGCCUAGUGGUUAGAGGGGAGAGGCGGCAGGUAGCCUAGUGGUUAGAGUGUAGGGGCGGCAGGUAGCCUAGUGGAUAGAGUGCAGAGGUGGCAGGCAGCCUAGUGGUUAGAGCGUUGGGUCCACUAACCGAAAGGUUGCUAGAUCGAAUCCCCCGA
ensembl:lncRNA